rnacentral:rRNA from 1 species
AGAGUUUGAUCCUGGCUCAGGAUGAACGCUAGCUACAGGCUUAACACAUGCAAGGUCGAGGGGCAGCAUGGGAUUAGCUUGCUAAUCCUGAUGGCGACCGGCGCACGGGUGAGUAACGCGUAUCCAACCUUCCCUUAACUCCGGAAUAGCCCGCUGAAAGGCGGAUUAAUGCCGGAUGCGGUCCAGCGAGGGCAUCUGACCCGGACCAAAGGUUUACCGGUUAAGGAUGGGGAUGCGUCUGAUUAGGUUGUUGGCGGGGUAACGGCCCACCUGGCCUACGAUCGGUAGGGGUUCUGAGAGGAAGGUCCCCCACAUUGGAACUGAGACACGGUCCAAACUCCUACGGGAGGCAGCAGUGAGGAAUAUUGGUCAAUGGACGUGAGUCUGAACCAGCCAAGUAGCGUGCAGGACGACGGCCCUAUGGGUUGUAAACUGCUUUUAUGCGGGGAUAAAGUUCACUACGUGUAGUGUUUUGCAGGUACCGCAUGAAUAAGGACCGGCUAAUUCCGUGCC